rnacentral:rRNA from 1 species
CGCGGCCUAUCAGCUUGUUGGUGAGGUAAUGGCUCACCAAGGCGUCGACGGGUAGCCGGCCUGAGAGGGUGACCGGCCACACUGGGACUGAGACACGGCCCAGACUCCUACGGGAGGCAGCAGUGGGGAAUAUUGCACAAUGGGCGGAAGCCUGAUGCAGCAACGCCGCGUGAGGGAUGACGGCCUUCGGGUUGUAAACCUCUUUUAGCAAGGAAGAAGCGAAAGUGACGGUACUUGCAGAAAAAGCGCCGGCUAACUACGUGCCAGCAGCCGCGGUAAUACGUAGGGCGCAAGCAUUAUCCGGAAUUAUUGGGCGUAAAGAGCUCGUAGGCGGUCUGUCGCGUCUGCUGUGAAAACCCGAGGCUCAACCUCGGGCCUGCAGUGGGUACGGGCAGACUAGAGUGCGGUAGGGGAGAUUGGAAUUCCUGGUGUAGCGGUGGAAUGCGCAGAUAUCAGGAGGAACACCGAUGGCGAAGGCAGAUCUCUGGGCCGUAACUGACGCUGAGGAGCGAAAGGGUGGGGAGCAAACAGGCUUAGAUACCCUGGUAGUCCACCCCGUAAACGUUGGGAACUAGUUGUGGGGUCCUUUCCACGGAUUCCGUGACGCAGCUAACGCAUUAAGCUCCCCGCCUGGGGAGUACGG